GACGAACGCUGGCGGCGUGCUUAACACAUGCAAGUCGAACGAAGUGGCGAACGGGUGAGUAACGCGUAAUCAACCUGCCCUUCAGAGGGGGACAACAGUUGGAAACGACUGCUAAUACCGCAUAACGUAGGUUGGGAUUGCGUCUGAUUAGCUAGUUGGAGGGGUAACGGCCCACCAAGGCGCGGAUCCGUAGCCGGUCUGAGAGGCUGAACGGCCACAAUGGGACUGAGACACGGCCCAGACUCCUACGGGAGGCAGCAGUGGGGAAUCUUCCGCAAUGGACGGAAGUCUGACGGAGCAACGCCGCGUGAGUGAUGACGGCCUUCGGGUUGUAAAGCUCUGUUAAUCGGGACGCGGUACCGGAAUAGAAAGCCACGGCUAACUACGUGCCAGCAGCCGCGGUAAUUC
rnacentral:rRNA from 1 species